rnacentral:rRNA from 1 species
UACGAAGGGGGCGAGCGUUGUUCGGAAUCACUGGGCGUAAAGCGUGCGUAGGCUGUUUCGCAAGUUGGAAGUGAAAGCCCAGGGCUCAACCCUGGAACUGCUUUCAAAACUGCGAGACUCGAAUUCGGGAGAGGAUAGCGGAAUUCCCAGUGUAGUAGUGAAAUACGUAGAUAUUGGGAGGAACACCAGUGGCGCAAGCGGCUAUCUGGACCGACAUUGACGCUGAGGUGCGAAAGCGUGGGGAGCAAACAGG